rnacentral:rRNA from 1 species
GACGAACGCUGGCGGCGUGCCUAAUACAUGCAAGUCGAGCGGAUCUUCAUUAGCUUGCUUUUGAAGAUCAGCGGCGGACGGGUGUGUAACACGUGGGCAACCUGCCUGUAAGACUGGGAUAACUUCGGGAAACCGGAGCUAAUACCGGAUAAUCCUUUUCCUCUCAUGAGGAAAAGCUGAAAGACGGUUUCGGCUGUCACUUACGGAUGGGCCCGCGGCGCAUUAGCUAGUUGGUGAGGUAACGGCUCACCAAGGCGACGAUGCGUAGCCGACCUGAGAGGGUGAUCGGCCACACUGGGACUGAGACACGGCCCAGACUCCUACGGGAGGCAGCAGUAGGGAAUCUUCCGCAAUGGACGAAAGUCUGACGGAGCAACGCCGCGUGAGCGAUGAUGGCCUUCGGGUCGUAAAGCUCUGUUGUCAGGGAAGAACGAGUAUCGGAGUAACUGCCGGUACCUUGACGGUACCUGACCAGAAAGCCACGGCUAACUACGUGCCAGCCGCCGCAGUAAGAC